AAGACUAUACUUUCAGGGAUCAUUUCUAUAGUUCUUGACUUGAGAAAUGUGUUUCUAAAGUGUUCGUUUUCGUUAUCCACGAUGAUGAGUCGUAAUACCCCGCUUUUGAGCGCGAAGCGGGCAAGAAAUAAUGAUUUAUUUAAUAUGUUUCUGGUCAUUGAUGACUGUUCUGUACUCCUAUUUGGAGUAUCGAGAAAGGGGGUAUGAUCAGAGUGGU